rnacentral:rRNA from 1 species
AUGAACGCUGGCGGCGUGCCUAAUACAUGCAAGUCGAGCGCACAGAUGAGGAGCUUGCUCCUCUGACGUUAGCGGCGGACGGGUGAGUAACACGUGGAUAACCUACCUAUAAGACUGGGAUAACUUCGGGAAACCGGAGCUAAUACCGGAUAAUAUAUUGAACCGCAUGGUUCAAUAGUGAAAGUCGGUUUUGCUGUCACUUAUAGAUGGAUCCGCGCCGCAUUAGCUAGUUGGUAAGGUAACGGCUUACCAAGGCAACGAUGCGUAGCCGACCUGAGAGGGUGAUCGGCCACACUGGAACUGAGACACGGUCCAUACUCCUACGGGAGGCAGCAGUAGGGAAUCUUCCGCAAUGGGCGAAAGCCUGACGGAGCAACGCCGCGUGAGUGAUGAAGGUCUUCGGAUCGUAAAACUCUGUUAUUAGGGAAGAACAAAUUUGUAAGUAACUAUGCACGUCUUGACGGUACCUAAUCAGAAAGCCACGGCUAACUACGUG